rnacentral:snRNA from 1 species
CCCGUAAGGCGCAAGGAA